GGUUAGUGGCUUUGGAGUUAGGAGAGGGAGACUUUCGUGAACGCCUUUCUCCUUUUUUUUUUUUUAAAAUGCCAAAACGACGUCGUUUGGCGUCCGAAUUUGCAUUGAACCGCAAAAAAACCGAAUGGUUCUUUCGGUUUGUCGGUUAACCGCCGGUUCGACCGAUUUUUUCACCAAUUUUUUGUCAGACGAUUUUUCACAUUAUCCAGACCGACUAGGUAAUCGGUUCCCGGUUUUUUCGGUUAAACCGGCCGGUCUGGUCCGAUUUUCAGAACCAUGCCAUUAAACCAUUAAACUAGUUAUUUGACCGAUUUAAUAACUGGUUCGGUUCUCGCAACCUAAAAAGUAAGAUAUAUUUAUGAAUUUAUUAGUAGGCUGGCAUUGCCGGUUUCCCCGCAGCUGAUGGUGAAUGGGCGGUUGUCACAGAACAACCCUGGCCUGAGGCAGUUCCACAACAACCUAUUGCAGCUGCGCCUGCUGACUGGGCCCCAGAUGCUUCUGCAGCUGCAGGUGAUUGGGAACCGGUUCCAGCUCCUCAGCCUUCCGUUCCGGCACCCGGAGCUGUUGCUCCCACUGGUUGGGAAUAGGAUGAGUAUGGGAUUUUCUUUUGUUUAGGAUAGAUGCAUCGUUUCCUGUAGGUUUGAUAUUUGAAGUUGUAAAAUUUUGAUUUAGCAUACUGAUACUUGGUUUGUUUCAACAAUUUAAUUGUUCCGUUGCGACCGCUAAUGGUACUGAAGUUUGCUGAGACAAAAGAAUAUAUCGGGAUAACCUUACAAUCACAUUUUGCAUAUUUUGACCUAUUAUCUCAA